rnacentral:rRNA from 1 species
AAGUCGUAACAAGGUUUCCGUAGGUGAACCUGCGGAAGGAUCAUUAUUGAAUAAACUUGUUUGGGUUGUUGCUGGCUCCUCGGAGCAUGUGCACGCCUGACACAUUUUUACCACCUGUGCACCCUUUGUAGACCUGGAAUACCUCUCGAGGCAACUCGGUUUGAGGACUGCCGCUGCUGAAAAGCCGGCUUUCCUUGCAUUCCCGGUCUAUGUCUUUAUACACCCCAAGAAUGUAAAUGAAUGUCUUUUAAUGGGCCUUAGUGCCUUUAAAUCAAAUACAACUUUCAACAACGGAUCUCUUGGCUCUCGCAUCGAUGAAGAACGCAGCGAAAUGCGAUAAGUAAUGUGAAUUGCAGAAUUCAGUGAAUCAUCGAAUCUUUGAACGCACCUUGCGCUCCUUGGUAUUCCGAGGAGCAUGCCUGUUUGAGUGUCAUUAAAUUCUCAACCUUUUCAGCUUUUACAAGUUGAUCAGGCUUGGAUGUGGGGGUUGCGGGCUUCUCAGAAGUCGGCUCUCCUUAAAUGCAUUAGCGGAACCUUUGUUGACCAGCUCUGGUGUGAUAAUUAUCUAC